AUCACUUCUUAGCCUUUUGGCUAAGAUCAAGUGCAGUAUCUGUUCUAAUCAGUUUAAUAUUUUUACUUCUUUAUCUUCUUAUGCUAUAUAAUAAGCAAGUUCC
rnacentral:snRNA from 1 species